GCUGGGUGUGGUGGCGCACGCCUGUAGUCCCAGCUACUUGGGAGGCUGAGGCAGGAGAUUCUCCUGAACCCAGGAGGAGGCGGUUGCAGUGAGCCGAGAUCACUCCAUUGCACUCCAGCCUGGGUGACAGGGUAAGACUCUGUCUCAA
rnacentral:SRP_RNA from 1 species